rnacentral:rRNA from 1 species
GACGAACGCUGGCGGCGUGCUUAACACAUGCAAGUCGAACGGAAAGGCCCUGCUUGCAGGGUACUCGAGUGGCGAACGGGUGAGUAACACGUGGGUGAUCUGCCCUGCACUUCGGGUUAAGCCUGGGAAACUGGGUCUAAUACCGGAUAGGAGCCAUUUUUAGUGUGAUGGUUGGAAAGUUUUUUCGGUGUAGGAUGAGCUCGCGGGCUAUCAGCUUGUUGGUGGGGUAAUGGCCUACCAAGGCGGCGGCGGGUAGCCGGCCUGAGAGGGUGGCCGGCCACAUUGGGACUGAGAUGCGGCCCAGACUCCGACUGGAGGCAGCAGUGGGGAAUAUUGCACGAUGGGCGCAAGCCUGAUGCAGCGACGCCGCGUGUGGGAUGACGGCCUUCGGGUUGUAAACUCCUUUCGCUAGGGACGAAGCUUUUUGUGACGGUACCUAGAUAAGAAGCACCGGCUAACUACGUG